GACGCGCAACCGACGCCCGUCGAUAACGACAGCAUAUUGUGCUCGCAUAACCCAUUCCUCAAUACAAGACGGACGUGUAAAAAGAUUUCCUUCCCCAGACCUUCAGGGACACAUUUUUUUUUUGUGUUGUCAUCUCCAAGUUUAUUCCGAGCUCGGCUCUCGCUCUCUUUCUCUCUGCAUGGGGGCCAACAUUGUCGUUUUGCCCGACCACACGGGAGCCACCGUCCGUGCGUAUUGGGUCGGUGUAUUUUGGCACUCGUCACAGUGAGCAGAGAGGCUCAUAAAAAAAAAAAAUCUAGAAGAAAAACCAAAAACCAAAAAACCAGUUGGCAAGUAGGACGAUUUUAAUCAGCGUUGAACCCGUCAAGAGAGUGGGGGGGGUGGUUCGCGUCAGAUGCGUGACCAAGCGUGAGUCCAUUCGUCACGAAGGUAAAAAAUCUGCUGCGGUAUUAUGAACUCCCUCCUUUUUUUUUCUUUUUUUUUUGAGCGCGUCCCUGUUGUUAUUUGAGCGACUCUAAUGGGAUUCUGCGCACCGUCUAACGUUCUUGAAUCGCCCACUAUUCAACCGUCUGUCCAUCGGCUGUGAGCCGAAUCGAGAAUAAAAUCCUGUUACAAGCCCGA